GUCGAGGUUGCUCCUCUAUCAGUACAUUCACUGUAUAUCCAUUAAUUUACUGCAGGGAGGUCUCACUUACAGAAUGGGACAUGUAUUUUGGAACUGGAAUUAUGUUUUAUGGGGAGGGGUCUGGUGGGAUCUAAACCUUGAUGAACAUCCCAUUUAAGCAUUCUAUUUUCCCUGCUAUUGCCUGGGGAUAGAUUAAGCCUUUCAUAAUCUCCUCUCCUCUCUUUUUCUUUCCUUGUAUUCUUUUAUUUUUCUUUCUUUUCCUUGUUCCAUUGUUAUGAAUGCAUUGGUCCUAAUUAUAGUUUAAGCUAAAGGCUGACUUUCCUUCAGAAAUCAAUCAGUAUCUACCUUUUAUGGAAUUCAUUGGUUCAUUGUUUUUGCACCUGAUGGAGGAUAUUACCCUCUUGAUAGUCAUUCAGUAUUCUUCUCUUGCCUGUCUUUGUUUGUACUGGUAAAAUUUAGUCAGCCUUUUACUGAAAAUGGACAUUGGAACUCCUUGGCCAUUUCUCAUGGAACAAGUUCAAUUGAGAUAUUCUUUACUCUGGAAAUCCUCUUGGCCUUUCAUUUUGGUUCAGCCUGUCCACAUUUGUCUUCUUUCUUUUGCAAAUGCUUCCGGCUUCUGUGGUUCCAUCAG
rnacentral:misc_RNA from 1 species